GCACGCCUUUCUCUUUGAGGAAGACGGGCUCGCAGCCGUUGCGGAGGCUCGGUGCCGCGUUCCUGCUCCUGACUCACCGCUGUUCGCUCUCGCCGAGGGACAAGUCGGUCAGGAAGCCGCGCCGCAGCCAUGGCGUUUAAAGACACUGGGAAGACCCCCGUGGAGCCGGAGGUGGCGAUUCACCGAAUUAGGAUUACUCUAACCAGCCGCAACGUAAAGUCUUUGGAGAAGGGUGAGUGCACUAGUCUCAGGUGUGUGCUGACUUGAUUAGAGGCGCGAAGGAAAAGAAUCUCAAAGUGAAAGGACCAGUUCGGAUGCCUACGAAGACUCUGAGAAUCACGACAAGAAAAACUCCUUGUGGUGAAGGUUCUAAGACUUGGGAUCGCUUUCAGAUGAGGAUCCACAAGCGACUCAUUGACUUGCACAGUCCCUCUGAGAUUGUUAAGCAGAUUACUUCCAUCAGUAUUGAGCCGGGAGUCGAGGUUGAAGUCACCAUUGCAGAUGCUUAAAUCACCUUUUUUAAUAAAUUGAUUACUGGUUGUUAA